GAUGAACGCUGGCGGCGUGCCUAAUACAUGCAAGUCGAGCGAACAGACGAGGAGCUUGCUCCUCUGACGUUAGCGGCGGACGGGUGAGUAACACGUGGAUAACCUACCUAUAAGACUGGGAUAACUUCGGGAAACCGGAGCAAAUACCGGAUAAUAUAUUGAACCGCAUGGUUCAAUAGUGAAAGACGGUUUUGCUGUCACUUAUCGAUGGAUCCGCGCCGCAUUAGCUAGUUGGUAAGGUAACGGCUUACCAAGGCAACGAUGCGUAGCCGACCUGAGAGGGUGAUCGGCCACACUGGAACUGAGACACGGUCCAGACUCCUACGGGAGGCAGCAGUAGGGAAUCUUCCGCAAUGGGCGAAAGCCUGACGGAGCAACGCCGCGUGAGUGAUGAAGGUCUUCGGAUCGUAAAACUCUGUUAUUAGGGAAGAACAAAUGUGUAAGUAACUAUGCACGUCUUGACGGUACCUAAUCAGAAAGCCACGGCUAACUACGUG
rnacentral:rRNA from 1 species